AGCUAGUCGUGGCUUUCUGGUUGGAUACCGUCACGCCGACAACAGUUACUCUGCCGACCAUUCUUCUCCAACAACAGAGUUUUACGACCCGAAAGCCUUCUUCACUCACGCGGCGUUGCUCCAUCAGACUUGCGUCCAUUGUGGAAGAUUCCCUACUGCUGCCUCCCGUAGGAGUAGGGGGNCNU
rnacentral:rRNA from 1 species